AUUGGGCUUUGGCUUUUGCCUUCAUUGUUCAGUGUAUGUCCGAAAUCUGAUCGAUUCUUUUGAUUAUUUAGAGAUGAUAUUAAUUUUAGAGUCUUUUAAAGGUUUUUGUGAAUCUCGGAUGCUACCGUACGAAAGGACUUCUCUAGAUGACUGCCAGGAGCGUUUCUACAAAGACAUUUGCGAAUACUUCUCAUGCAAAGGAGCAUAUUCAUCCUCAGGACCAUCUCCAUCUUCAGGAGCAUCUGCAGGUGCAGCAGCAUUUGCUGGUGGAGCUCCACCUGCGAAACCCAAAGAGUUUGACCAUAUUGCCGCCAUCGGUUGGACAAAUCAAGAUCGCACCGGUAUACGAUGGUUGUGUGGAGGAUCGUUGAUCUGGGAAAACUUCAUCCUUACAGCGGCCCACUGCACAGUGGAUGACAACAAUAAACCGCCGGAUGUGGCUCGCAUGUUAGAUCUCAACAUCUAAAGAUGCUAAAGAUGACCAAAACGCAGUAGAAUUGAAGAUUAUCGAUAUUAUCCGUCAUCCAAAUUAUCUACACACCUCGACGUAUUAUGAUAUCGCAUUGCUCAAGCUCGAGAAGAA